GACGAACGCUGGCGGCGUGCUUAACACAUGCAAGUCGAACGGAAAGGCCCUGCUUGCAGGGUACUCGAGUGGCGAACGGGUGAGUAACACGUGGGUGAUCUGCCCUGCACUUCGGGAUAAGCCUGGGAAACUGGGUCUAAUACCGGAUAGGAGCCAUUUUUAGUGUGAUGGUUGGAAAGUUUUUUCGGUGUAGGAUGAGCUCGCGGCUUAUCAGCUUGUUGGUGGGGUAAUGGCCUACCAAGGCGGCGACGGGUAGCCGGCCUGAGAGGGUGGACGGCCACAUUGGGACUGGGAUACGGCCCAGACUCCUACGGGAGGCAGCAGUGGGGAAUAUGGCACAAUGGGCGAAAGCCUGAUGCAGCGACGCCGGGUGGGGGAUGACGGCCUUCGGGUUUUAAACUCCUUUCGCUGGGGACGAAGCUUUUUGGGGGGGUACCGAGAUAAGGAGCCCCGGCAAACUACGG
rnacentral:rRNA from 1 species